GUGGGGAAUCUUGCGCAAUGGGCGAAAGCCUGACGCAGCCAUGCCGCGUGGAUGAUGAAGGUCUUAGGAUUGUAAAAUCCUUUCACCGGUGAAGAUAAUGACUGUAGCCGGAGAAGAAGCCCCGGCUAACUUCGUGCCAGCAGCCGCGGUAAUACGAAGGGGGCUAGCGUUGCUCGGCAUUACUGGGCGUACAGGGAGCGUAGGCGGACAUUUAAGUCAGGGGUGAAAUCCCGAGGCUCAACCUCGGAACUGCCUUUGAUACUGGGUGUCUUGAGUGUGAGAGAGGUGAGUGGAACUCCGAGUGUAGAGGUGAAAUUCGUAGAUAUUCGGAAGAACACCAGUGGCGAAGGCGACUCGCUGGCUCAUUACUGACGCUGAGGCUCGAAAGCGUGGGGAGCAAACAGGAUUAGAUACCCGAGUAGUCC
rnacentral:rRNA from 1 species